GACGAACGCUGGCGGCGUGCCUAAUACAUGCAAGUUGAGCGCUGAAGGUUGGUCCUUGUACCAACUGGAUGAGCAGCGAACGGGUGAGUAACGCGUGGGGAAUCUGCCUUUGAGCGGGGGACAACAUUUGGAAACGAAUGCUAAUACCGCAUAAAAACUUUAAACACAAGUUUUAAGUUUGAAAGAUGCAAUUGCAUCACUCAAAGAUGAUCCCGCGUUGUAUUAGCUAGUUGGUGAGGUAAAGGCUCACCAAGGCGAUGAUACAUAGCCGACCUGAGAGGGUGAUCGGCCACAUUGGGACUGAGACACGGCCCAAACUCCUACGGGAGGCAGCAGUAGGGAAUCUUCGGCAAUGGACGAAAGUCUGACCGAGCAACGCCGCGUGAGUGAAGAAGGUUUUCGGAUCGUAAAACUCUGUUGGUAGAGAAGAACGUUGGUGGGAGUGGAAAGCUCAUCAAGUGACGGUAACUACCCAGAAAGGGACGGCUAACUACGUG
rnacentral:rRNA from 1 species